rnacentral:rRNA from 1 species
CCUAGUUGAUCCUGCCAAUAUUCAUAUGCUUGUCUCAAAGAUUAAGCCAUGCAUGUCUAAGUAUGAACUAAUUCAGACUGUGAAACUGUGGAUGGCUCAUUAAAUCAGUUAUAGUUUCUUUGAUGGUACCCUACUACUUGGAUAACCAUAGUAAUUCUAGAGCUAAUAUGUGCACCAAGUCCCGACUCUUUGGAAGGGAUGCAUUUAUUAUAUAAAAGGCCAGCACGAGCUUGCCUGCUUCUUCGGUGAAUCAUGAUAACUCGAUGGAUCGCACAUCCCUUGUGUUGGCGAUGCUUCAUUCAUAUUUCUGUCCUAUCAACUUUUGAUGGUAGGAUAGAGGCCUACCAUGGUGGUGAUGGGUGAUAUAGACUUAGGGUUCGAUUCUGGAGAGGGAGCCUGAAAAACAACUACCACAUCCAAGGAAGGCAGUAGGCGUGCAAAUUACCCAAUCUUGACAUGGGGAGGUAGUGACAAUAAAUAACAAUACUGGGCUCAUCAAGUCUAGUAAUUGGAAUGAGUACAAUCUAAAUCCCUUAAUGAGGAUCCAUUGGAGGGCAAGUCUGGUGCCAACAUCUACGGUAAUUCCAGAUCCAAUAGCGUAUAUUUAAGUUGUUGUAGUUAAAAAUAUCGUAGUUGGAUCUUGGGUCGUAAAGGUCGGUCCACCUACUUGGUGUGCACCUGCCCUUCCAUCCCUUUUGUCAGUGGCAUGAUCCUAACCUUAACUAGUUGGGUCGCGGUUCCAACAUUGUUACUUUGAAAAAAUUAGAGUGCUCAAAACAAGAUUAUGUUCUGAAUACAUUAGCAUGGAAUAACACGAUAGGAGUCUGGUCCUAUUGUGUGGCCUUCGAGACCAGAGUAAUGAUUAAUAGGGAUUGUCGGGGGCAUUCAUAUUUCAUUGUUAGAGGUUAAAUUCUUGUAUUUAUGAAAGACAAACCACUAUGAAAGAAUUUUCUAAGGAUGUUUUCAUUAAUCAAGAACGAAAGUUGGGGGAUCAAAGAUGAUCAGAUAUCGUUCUAGUCUCAACCAUAAACGAUGCCGACCAGGGAUCAACAAAUGUUUCUCUAAGGACUCUGCCAACACCUUCUGAGAAAUUAGAGUGUUUGGGUUCCAGGGGUAGUAUGGUCGCAAGGAUGAAACUUAAAGGAAUUGACAGAGGUAUUUGGCUCUAACAUGCAACCCCAACUAAAGAGAGAACACCCACUGAGUUUAAGCAUAUAAUUAAGUGGAGGAAAAGAAACUUACAAGGAUUCCCUUAGUAAUGGUGAGCGAAUCAGGAAGAGCCCAACAUGAAAAUCGGGUGGCAGCACCGCCUAAAUUGUAGUUUGUAGAAGCAUCCUUAGUGGAAGACUAGGCCCAAGUCCCUUUGGAAGGGGGUGCCUGAGAGGGUGACAACCCCGUCGGGCCGGGACCCUGCCGCACCACGAGGCAUUGUCGGCAAGUCGGGUUGUUUGGGAAUGCAUCCCUAAUCGGGUGGUAAUUUUUUUCCAAGGCUAAAUACGAGCGAGAGACCAAUAGCAAACAAGUACCACAAAGGAAAGAUGAAAAGGACUUUGAAAAGAGAGUUAAAGAGUGCUUGAAAUUGCUGGGAGGGAAGCAGAUGGAGGUCGAUGA